CUUUAUUUAUCAUAGGAGGAAAUCCACCCACCUUUUCCGAUUUGUGAAAGUUUAAGAUGAUUUUGGACAAAUCAAGCUUAAAGAAUAUAUCUUGCAAGUUCGAUAACUGUCAAUACAUCUUGAUAUUUUUGAUUUUGGACUUGGGCUUUGUCGAUUGGAAAAAAUAGUUGAUCCAAACAAACACCAUGUAGUCUUAUGGACGUAUGAGCCAUCUCACUGUAUGUGGAGCUUUUCUCUUGCACCCAACUACUUUAUUUUAGCUCUGUCACUGUGAUCUCCAAUUUCGUUCCCAGGUGUACCAUUACUAUGGUCACGGUCUUGCAAAUGCUUCAUGUGUAGCUUUUCAGCCUUGCAAAUUAGUUAUUUUGAUUGCUACAUACAUAUUGUUGAAAUAUUGGUGCGUUGAAAAGAUAUGGGUGGAAUUAACAAACUGACUAGACAUAUGAAACAAAUUAAUGAUGCAUUGUCAGAUCCUCUUGCUUUUGCUAAUUUGAACAAGGUAAUAUUUAAGAUUUAUUACAAUCUUCCGUUUCGUUGUUUUAGCUGAGUCACUUAUCAUUAAUACUAUUGCACAAAAUGUGCAGGAUUAACCAAAGGAGGAACUUGAAGAAUUGGAGGUAGCAGUGUGUGUCUUGUAAACAAGCAAGCAAUUCUCCCUGCUCCACAGAAAGCUACAGCUGAAGAUGAAGAACUUGCUACACUACAAGCCGAAACUUCGCUAUGACCAGGGUGACUACGAAGAGGAUUGAGAAAGAAAAUAGUAGUACAAACUUACAAAAUACUCUUUUACAGAGAUCUAGUCCUAAUAAGACUCAAGGUGGAAGGCUAAUUGUUAUUUCUCCAAAUGCGCUCAUACAAGCUGCAACAAAGAAUUCUCAAAUGUUUGAAGCAAUGGAUCCAAAGAACUAGAUCGACUGGACUCUAGAUCACGGACAAUUUAGUCUUGGCACUUAAUUAGGAUGGCUAAAUUACAUUUGAUUUUCAUUUGAUGGAUAUUUUCUAUGAGAAUUAUGAAUUUUAUGAAUCUACAUAUUAUACGUAUGGUUUUGAAUAUUGUAAUUGAAUUCCUCUAUAUUUUUUUACGGUUGCAAUAGGAUAUUACCACAACCCACUUUUGGUUGCCACAUGUUAGCACCACGAAAAUUUUAUAUUGUCGCAAUAG